rfam:Intoshia linei isolate Intl2013 Contig_34412, whole genome shotgun sequence.
GCCGCGGUGACCGAGUGGUUAAGGUGAUAGAUUCGAAAUCUAUUGGGCUUUGCCCGCACAGGUUCGAAUCCUGUCCGCGGCG